rnacentral:rRNA from 1 species
AUUGAACGCUGGCGGCAGGCCUAACACAUGCAAGUCGAGCGGAUGAAGGGAGCUUGCUCCUGGAUUCCGCGGCGGACGGGUGAGUAAUGCCUAUGAAUCUGCCUGGUAGUGGGGGAUAACGUCCGGAAACGGGCGCUAAUACCACAUACGUCCUGAGGGAGAAAGUGGGGGAUCUUCGGACCUCACGCUAUCAGAUGAGCCUAGGUCGGAUUAGCUAGUUGGUGGGGUAAAGGCCUACCAAGGCGACGAUCCGUAACUGGUCUGAGAGGAUGAUCAGUCACACUGGAAAUGAGACACGGUCCAGACUCCUACGGGAGGCAGAAGUGGGGAAUAUUGGACAAGGGGCGAAAGCCUGAUACAGGCAUGCCGCGUGUGAAGAAGGUCUUCGGAUUGUAAAGCACUUUAAGGUGGGAGGAAGGGCAGUAAGUUAAUACCUUGCUGUUUUGACGGUACCAACAGAAUAAGCACCGGCUAACUUCGUG